rnacentral:rRNA from 1 species
UUGGCUUAGAAGCAGCCAUCAUUUAAAGAAAGCGUAAUAGCUCACUGGUCGAGUCGGCCUGCGCGGAAGAUGUAACGGGGCUAAACCAUGCACCGAAGCUGCGGCAGCGACACUGUGUGUUGUUGGGUAGGGGAGCGUUCUGUAAGCCUGUGAAGGUGUGCUGUGAGGCAUGCUGGAGGUAUCAGAAGUGCGAAUGCUGACAUAAGUAACGAUAAAGCGGGUGAAAAGCCCGCUCGCCGGAAGACCAAGGGUUCCUGUCCAACGUUAAUCGGGGCAGGGUGAGUCGACCCCUAAGGCGAGGCCGAAAGGCGUAGUCGAUGGGAAACAGGUUAAUAUUCCUGUACUUGGUGUUACUGCGAAGGGGGGACGGAGAAGGCUAUGUUGGCCGGGCGACGGUUGUCCCGGUUUAAGCGUGUAGGCUGGUUUUCCAGGCAAAUCCGGAAAAUCAAGGCUGAGGCGUGAUGACGAGGCACUACGGUGCUGAAGCAACAAAUGCCCUGCUUCCAGGAAAAGCCUCUAAGCAUCAGGUAACAUCAAAUCGUACCCCAAACCGACACAGGUGGUCAGGUAGAGAAUACCAAGGCGCUUGAGAGAACUCGGGUGAAGGAACUAGGCAAAAUGGUGCCGUAACUUCGGGAGAAGGCACGCUGAUAUGUAGGUGAAGUCCCUCGCGGAUGGAGCUGAAAUCAGUCGAAGAUACCAGCUGGCUGCAACUGUUUAUUAAAAACACAGCACUGUGCAAACACGAAAGUGGACGUAUACGGUGUGACGCCUGCCCGGUGCCGGAAGGUUAAUUGAUGGGGUCAGCGCAAGCGAAGCUCUUGAUCGAAGCCCCGGUAAACGGCGGCCGUAACUAUAACGGUCCUAAGGUAGCGAAAUUCCUUGUCGGGUAAGUUCCGACCUGCACGAAUGGCGUAAUGAUGGCCAGGCUGUCUCCACCCGAGACUCAGUGAAAUUGAACUCGCUGUGAAGAUGCAGUGUACCCGCGGCAAGACGGAAAGACCCCGUGAACCUUUACUAUAGCUUGACACUGAACAUUGAGCCUUGAUGUGUAGGAUAGGUGGGAGGCUUUGAAGUGUGGACGCCAGUCUGCAUGGAGCCGACCUUGAAAUACCACCCUUUAAUGUUUGAUGUUCUAACGUGGACCCGUGAUCCGGGUUGCGGACAGUGUCUGGUGGGUAGUUUGACUGGGGCGGUCUCCUCCUAAAGAGUAACGGAGGAGCACGAAGGUUGGCUAAUCCUGGUCGGACAUCAGGAGGUUAGUGCAAUGGCAUAAGCCAGCUUGACUGCGAGCGUGACGGCGCGAGCAGGUGCGAAAGCAGGUCAUAGUGAUCCGGUGGUUCUGAAUGGAAGGGCCAUCGCUCAACGGAUAAAAGGUACUCCGGGGAUAACAGGCUGAUACCGCCCAAGAGUUCAUAUCGACGGCGGUGUUUGGCACCUCGAUGUCGGCUCAUCACAUCCUGGGGCUGAAGUAGGUCCCAAGGGUAUGGCUGUUCGCCAUUUAAAGUGGUACGCGAGCUGGGUUUAGAACGUCGUGAGACAGUUCGGUCCCUAUCUGCCGUGGGCGCUGGAGAACUGAGGGGGGCUGCUCCUAGUACGAGAGGACCGGAGUGGACGCAUCACUGGUGUUCGGGUUGUCAUGCCAAUGGCACUGCCCGGUAGCUAAAUGCGGAAGAGAUAAGUGCUGAAAGCAUCUAAGCACGAAACUUGCCCCGAGAUGAGUUCUCCCUGACCCUUUAAGGGUCCUGAAGGAACGUUGAAGACGACGACGUUGAUAGGCCGGGUGUGUAAGCGCAGCGAUGCGUUGAGCUAACCGGUACUAAUGAACCGUGAGGCUUAACCUUACAACGCCGAAGGUGUUU